CCUACGGGAGGCAGCAGUGAGGAAUAUUGGUCAAUGGACGAGAGUCUGAACCAGCCAAGUCGCGUGAAGGAUGACUGCCCUAUGGGUUGUAAACUUCUUUUAUACAGGGAUAAAACGAGACACGUGUGCCUUUUUGCAUGUACUUUAUGAAUAAGGAUCGGCUAACUCCGUGCCAGCAGCCGCGGUAAUACGGAGGAUCCGAGCGUUAUCCGGAUUUAUUGGGUUUAAAGGGAGCGUAGAUGGGUUGUUAAGUCAGUUGUGAAAGUUUGCGGCUCAACCGUAAAAUUGCAAUUGAUACUGGCAGUCUAGAGUACAGUUGAGGUAGGCGGAAUGCGUGGUGUAGCGGUGAAAUGCUUAGAGAUCACGAAGAACCCCGAUUGCGAAGGCAGCUUACUAAACUGUGACUGACAUUGAUGCUCGAAAGUGUGGGUAUCAAACAGGAUUAGAUACCCGAGUAGUC
rnacentral:rRNA from 1 species